UAGGGUCGUUCGUGGCCGGAAGAAGUCCGGGAGAGACUCGGGGAAUGGUUGGCUGCUAUAGGAGGUCGACUGUCAGUGAGGCCCAGAGGGCCUUUGGGAUGGCCCGAUGGGUGAACGCAGAAGUCCAUUGUCAGAGAAGUCCGGACGGUCGAGGGAGUUCGGAGAGGCGCCACACAUAAGGUCGGGAGCCAGAAGAGCCCUGGAGGAAUCGGCCUUUUAUAAACUUCGAUCGGGGGGUACUUUAUACCCA
rnacentral:lncRNA from 1 species